rnacentral:rRNA from 1 species
UACGUAGGGGGCGAGCGUUGUCCGGAUUUAUUGGGCGUAAAGAGCGUGUAGGCGGCUUGGUAGGUCCGUUGUGAAAACUCGAGGCUCAACCUCGAGACGUCGAUGGAAACCAUCUAGCUAGAGUCCGGAAGAGGAGAGUGGAAUUCCUGGUGUAGCGGUGAAAUGCGCAGAUAUCAGGAAGAACACCCGUGGCGAAGGCGGCUCUCUGGGACGUGACUGACGCUGAGACGCGAAAGCGUGGGGAGCGAACAGG